rnacentral:rRNA from 1 species
GACGAACGCUGGCGGCGUGCUUAACACAUGCAAGUCGAACGGAAAGGCCCUGCCUUUGUGGGGUGCUCGAGUGGCGAACGGGUGAGUAACACGUGAGUAACCUGCCCUUGACUUUGGGAUAACUUCAGGAAACUGGGGCUAAUACCGGAUAGGAGCUCCUGCUGCAUGGUGGGGGUUGGAAAGGUUCGGUGGCUGGGGUUGGAGUCGCGGCUUAUCAGCUUGUUGGUGGGGGAGCGGCUUACCAAGGCUUUGACGGGGAGCCGGCCUGAGAGGGUGACCGGCCACAUUGGGACUGGGGUACGACCCAGACUCCUACGGGAGGCAGCAGUGGAGAAUAUUGCACGAUGGGCGGAAGCCUGAUGCAGCAACGCCGCGUGCGGGAUGACGGCCUUCGGGUUGUAACCCGCUUUCGCCUGUGACGAAGCGUGAGUGACGGUAAUGGGUAAAGAAGCACCGGCUAACUACGUG